ACACACAGGGAGGAGGACAACUUUCUGCAAACUGGACAACAUCACUGGAAGCACUCGAAUUAUCCCCUGGGUUGCCCCAUGCACUUCCUUUCGUUUUGCUUUUAUACUUUUUUUAUUUAUUGAACUUAUCUUUGUGUGUUUAUUAUGUUAUUCAUUGAGUACUGUGUUUAAAAACAUACCCCUGUGGUGUUGCUGCUACAAGUCCAAUUUGAAGUGAGGAGGAUUUACAGCAAAAUGUGAACAGAAUGCAGAGUUGGAGAAGGGUUUCGGCCUGAAACGUUGCCUAUUUCCUUUGCUCCAUAGAUGCUGCUGCACCCGCUGAGUUUCUCCAGCUUUUUUGUGCACCAACAGAAUGCAGAUCUGGAUGAGCCAAAGGCUUGUAAGAAAGGUGAAUGAGGAAGGUGGAAUCUUCAAGUGAAUUGUGGACGCAUCCCAGACCAUCACAGAAACCAACCUCCCGUUGACUCUAUUUACAAGUCACGCUGCCUCGGCAAGGCCAGCAGCAUAAUCAAGGACGUGUUGCACCCUGCACUCUCGCUUCUCCCCUCUCCCAUCGGGCAAAUGGUAUAGAAGUGUGAAAACAUCACACGUCCAAAUUUAGGAACAGUUUCUUCCCAGCUGUUAUCAUGCAACUGAACCAUCCUACCACAACUAGAGAGCAGUCCUGAACUACCAUCCACCUCAUUGGAGACCCUCGAACUAUCUUUGAUUGGACUUUCUGGACUUUAUCUUGCACUAAAUGUUAUUCAUGUUAUUCCUUUAUCAUGUAUCUGCACACUGUGAAUGGCUCGAUGGUAACCAUGUAUUAUCUUUCCACUGACUGGUUCGCACGCAACAAAUGCUUUUCACCGGACACGUGACAAUAAAUUAAAAUCAAACUAUUCAUCUCCACAUUAGAGGUUUAGAGUUGGAUGCAGUAUACUACAUGGAAACAUAGAAACAUAGAAAUUAGGUGCAGGAGUAGGCCAUUCGGUCCUUCGAACCUGCACCGCCAUUCAAUAUGAUCAUGGCUGAUCAUCCAACUCAGUAUCCUGUACCUGCCUUCUCUCCAUACCCUUUGAUCCCCUUAGCCACAAGGGCCACAUCUAACUCCCUCUUAAAUAUAGCCAAUGAACUGGCCAUGACUACCCUCUGUGGCAGAGAAUUCCAGAGAUUCACCACUCUCUGUGUGAAAAAAGUUCUUCUCAUCUCGGUUUUAAAGGAUUUCCCCCUUAUCCUUAAGCUGUGACCCCUUGUCCUGGACUUCCCCAACAUCGGGAGCAAUCUUCCUGCAUCUAGCAGGAAACAGGCCCUUUGGCCCAACUUAAUCUGUCACAAAGGCGAAAAGAUAAAACAGCAGGAUAAU